GGUCAGCAGCAGCCUCGUUAGUUCUCUACACUGUGAAAUCAAAAAGAUUUGAGAGACGAUCUGUAGAUUAAGCAAACGAAGAAGAAGAUGAAGAAACAAGAAGAAGAAGAAGCUGGUGUUGUAAUAAGAAGAAUAAGAAGAAAAGCUGGUAAAUUUAAGUUAGUUUGGGUAUGAGCGGGCUGGGAAUUGGGGUUUUCUUAACUGGUUUUCAUUCGAUCAGUAUGUGAUUUUGCUUACAGUUUUCAAAUUUUCAUAACUGGUUUCCAUGAGUCCAUUGUUUUAAGCUUUCGACCAUCAUUUUUGGGUUGUUUUUGGAACUUGGACAGUGCAGAAAUUAGAAAUUGCUGGGCAAAAUUAAAGUUAUUUUGGAAGUAUUAGAAACUGGAUGGAAAGAUCCAAAGAAGUUACCCGUAUCAUCGCAGAACAACAGCAUCAAUCAUCUACCAAAGCAGGCAGCUGAAUCAAUUGAAGAAUUGUGAAACGUAGAGAGGAAUUGGGGAUCAUCUUCAAUCAGCAUUACAGAUUCCAAUUUCACUGUAAGUUUCGAGGAGAAGCUAAUUAUACGCACACCCGGAGGUAUAUGUAAAGGUUAGGGGUCCUCAUUAGGGAAUGUUGUUGCCAUAUGAGGCCUUGGUCAUCAAAUCUUAAAGAGCGCAACUCUUUCUUUGACUAGAAACUGUUGGCCCUUUUCAAAUAUGGUUUUCCAAGCUGCCCCUACUCUAACAGUUGCUGUUGGACCGACUAUUCCGAGGGAUCUACAAAGGGGUUUGCAGCUUCUGAACAGCGCAGACUUCAUUUGUAGAGGUUAGUGUUUCUGGCACAGGAGAACAUGUGCUUGUAGCUGCAGGAGGGAUGCAUACAGGAUUUGAAAGAGAGGUUUGCAAGGGUUAAUCUGAAUGUCUCAAAACCCCUUGCUUCUAUUCGGUGACCACUGAAGGGGAUGGAUCCAAUUUCCUGGAUAAUCUGAAAGUCUUGACUGGUAGCUUAGUUUAUGUGGAGAAAACAACUCCCAAUGGUCGAUGUGUUGUUCGGGUGGGGGUACAAAGUUGCUUGAGGAAAGUUCCGAUCUACUUGGAGAAAUUCUAGAAGCGAGAACCCGGGUAAAGAAACAACAAACUGUUUGCAACACUUGGAGAACUUCAGUAUUACAUGAUAGUGUACUCGAAGCACUUAAACAACAGAAGAUGGAUGUUGUGCAGGAUCAUGCUGCGAGUGAAAAAAACUCAACAAGGAUAAUGCUGAUAAAUGUAGAAAUGUGUGGCUUCAGUUGCUGUGGAGAAUCUGGGCUCUUGGACCUAGGAGUGUUUGUCCUAAUAUUCUUCUCGUCUCCAGAAGCCAAAGAAGAAAUUGAUGAUCAUUCAGUUCUAAUUCAAGAUUUUCCUCUUCUUGCAUCUCAGAGAUCAGAGUUUGUCGAUGAGAAGACUAGUGAUGAAAUGUGGCUUUUGAAAAAUCUGUAGAAACAAGCAGUUCCCUUUUUAUGGAAGCAGAGACUCUCAUGAGCAGUGUUUUAUCUGGGUUUCAGCUUGCUACUGGAGCUGGACCAUUAUGUGAUGAAACUAUGUGGGGGUUGGCCUUUAUUAUUGAAGCUAAUGUUAUUACAGUGGAGAUUAAUAUAUCCAGUGAUCUGAUGUGCAUGUUUCUACUCAAUUAUACUCAAUUAGCAGAUCACUAUGGCGUCUUCACUGGACAGAUAAUGACUGCAGUGAAGGAAGCAUGUAGAAUGGCCGUACUUCAUAAGAAACCUUGUCUUGUGGAAGCCAUGUGUACUUAUUGUGAAUUGAACACCCCAACUGGACAUUUGAGUCUCCAUGUAUGCUGUUCUAUCUAAGAGAUGUGCCCGAGUUUUGAAGGAUGGGAUGCAACAAGGGUCUUCUUUGUCCACAGUGCAUGCAUAUCUGCCGGUUACUGAAAGUUCAGGUUUUGCACGGGAGCUUCUAGAAAAAUCUGGAGCUUAAGUGCAUUACUUGUACUUGGUCAUUGGGAAGAGCUUCCGGAAGAUUCUUUCUUUGUCCCUUAGACAGAAGAAGAAAUCAAAGUGUUUAGAGAUGGUUCUAGUAUUCUGCCAAACACAGCUAGGAAGCUCAUUGGUGCACUAAGGACACGAAAAGGUCUUCCAGUUAAAUGCAUAUGGCUAAAGUAACUGCAGCAUUUCUCUCAUACUUCUGGAUAUGGAGAUGACCCAAUAUUCUUGACCCUGAGGAAUCCUGAUUGGAUGCUAAGGCUGAAAGAAGAAUGACCCAACCUGCAGCAACAGUUGAUGGCCAGUAGCACAGCAGGAAAGUUGGUGAAUUUGAUUGCUAUGGGGAAUUUUGACAGUUUGUCACAGAAAAACAGCUUAUAGGAUAUGGGUGGGUACGAGAAGCAAAUUACCAAAAUGCUUUCUUUGGUGGUCUGUUAUGGAUGUAUAGUGCCUUGUCUGUUAUGGUUUUUGUGAUUUCAGUGAAAUCGUUCCAAGCUGAUUGGGAAAUGUCUUUAAUUUCUUAAAUCCGAGAUGCUUUGAGGAAGUUUUAAUGGCCGCAGCUGGUGAAAUCCCAAUUAUUAGGGGGAUAAGGGUGGAAGCCACAACCAGGUCAUUCAUUUAGGCUGGAUUCAUCUGUAGAUGUUAAUUUGGGAGGCCUGGGAGUGGCAACAAAUUUUAUUAUUGUUGAGAUUCUUUGCAUAGUUUUCAUUUUUCAACAUUGGAUAAGAACAAAUAAAAAAAUAAAAAAUAUUUUUAUGACA